CGUCUAUAUACGUAUAGCAUAUCAAUAAGCGGAGGAAAAGAAACUAACUAGGAUUCCCUCAGUAACGGCGAGUGGAGCGGGAAGAGCUCAAAUUUGAAAUCUUCAAGGUUCUACCUUGACGAAUUGUAGUUUAAAGAAGUGUUUUCUGUUGGAGUUUUGGUAAAAGUUCUUUGGAAUAGGACAUCAUAGAGGGUGAGAAUCCCGUAUUUGACCAGUUAUUUUCAGCUGUGUGAUACACUUUCAAAGAGUCGGAUUGUUUGGGAAUGCAGUCCAAAAUGGGUGGUAAAUUUCAUCUAAAGCUAAAUACUGGCGAGAGACCGAUAGCGAGCAAGUACCGUGAGGGAAAGAUGAAAAGAACUUUGAAAAGAGAGUUAAACAGUACGUGAAAUUGUCAAAAGGGAAGCGUUUGACACCAGUGUUGUUUUCUCGAAAAUCAAUUAAAAAUGGUGGGAUUCUGUGUUGUAUUGACUUUAUCUGCUUUCUGCACUUUUUUCCUGUCUUUUUUAAUGCACUUUUCGUUUAACAAGUCAACAUCAAUUUCUUUUGUUGUAAAAGAGUCAUUGGAAGGUGGCUUUCUUUUCGGAGAAAGUGUUUAUAGCCUUAGACUUCUGCAAUCGGAGAGAUUGAGGUCUGCAGCGUAGAUCCUUCGGGGUUAGAUGCAUUUGUGCUAAGUUAUAGCCUUUCACAGACAACUUGUUGACUAUGAUCAGUCAUGUAGCUUACUCGCUUAUGUUAUUUUACCUACGCUUAGGAUGUUGACGAUCAGCUGAGCGCG
rnacentral:rRNA from 1 species